rnacentral:lncRNA from 1 species
AAAAGUGAUUAUUGUGGAAGCACUUGUUCCAGUGAUGCCAGAGACUAGCACCGCCGUGAAGAGCACCUCCCUACUUGAUGUGCUUAUGCUGAGUCAAAAAAGGGGAGGAAAGGAGCGGAGCCGAGAAGAGUUCAUGACUUUGGCAACUGGUGCUGGAUUUAGUGGCAUUAAAUAUGAAUGUUUUGUCGCCAGCCUUUGGGUGAUGGAGAUCUUUAAGUAAACAACUAUGAUCAGCAAAAUAGUGUUAUGCUUGAUUAUUAUUUCUGUGAGCUAUGUCUAGAUGUGUGUAUAAAUAAAAAUAACUCCAGCUCAUAAUUCGCAUCUCAAAAACACCUAUGUACGUGAACAUGAUCAGCAAAAUAUUUUUCUUAAAACUACAAGGAGAUAUAUUAUGGCAAAAUGUGUACGUGUAUAUUUAUUGGGUUAGAAUAAAGUAAAAACCUGCACAAACUCAACAUGACUUCAACGAGAUUAUUUAUUGGGUUGGGUCCGGUUGAUGGUUUUCUCACCCAUGUGGACCCAAACCAAACUCCAUUUCUUGCAUGAAUUGCUUACGCACAUGUCAGAACUUUGCCGUCUCAUAGAGAGCCCCGUCAACCAGCUAAAUUUAGUUUCGCUGAUAUUGCUCAAUUAGGGGAAGCUAUAGUUUCUGCCAUUCAGACAACAUUUCAUACUCCUCAGAGGACACCUCUUGAGACAGUUCAUAAUCUGAAGUUGACUCACUUCAUGGGAAAUAAAGGUCAUGAGGGGGCGGAAUAAUGGUUGAAUCAUGUGGAGAAGACCUUUCAGGUGAUGCAGAGUCAGGGGAAUUUUCUUCCUGAUAGGUGGGUCGAGACGACUACCUAGUUUUUGGGAGAACAGCCUGCAUCUUGGUGGAGAUAGGAGUCUUACGAGAUGACCCUAGAGGAGAUUAUGGACUUGGGAGUGUUUGAGGAGCGGUUUCAGAAAAGGUUCAUUCCUCCUGCGUAUAUCGAUAUUAAGAAACAAGAGUUUACUCAUCUGAGGCAAGGAAAGAUGUCCGUUAAUGAGUAUUACAGGAUGUUUACUGAUCUGUCGAGAUAUGAUCUGGAGGUUGCUGCUAAUCCGGUAGAGAUGCUUCGCCGUUUCAGUUUGGGUACUAAGAAGAAAUGGCGUUCCAUAGUGACAUCGACUCACUGUGCCUCUUACCAGGAGUUCUACGAGAUUCUACUGAGGAUUGAGGCCUCAGAGAACAUGCCUAGUGAAUGUAAGGAUGAGGAAGGAAAGAAUGGGGGCCAGGGACGAGAUGACAAAGGAAAAGGGCAAGCAUUUUAGGGACCCCGCAAGACCCAGAACUUUAAGAGAAGUGGUGGCAGUUUUAGCUCUUCUAGCGGAGGAUUGAGUACUAACAUGCAGAAGAGAGGUGGUAGAUUCACUGGAGGUCCGAGGUUCCAGAGACAGAGAGAUUUUGGUGGCUCAGGUGGAUCUGGUGCUCCCUUAUGCCGCAGGUGUAAUAAUCGGCAUUUUGGGGAGUGUAUGAGAGGUGGCAAUGUAUGUUUUACUUGUGGACAUAUGGGUCAUAGGGUUGCUCAAUGCCCUCAGAGUCAGCAGAGACCCCAGCAGCCUUCAUUCCCCCCACCUGCACCUACCCAGCACGCUUCAGGAUCUGGUGGUUGUACUCAGACUGGACAAGGAGGUGUCUACCAUUACUAGGGCGACGCCGCUCUCUACACCUCAGGUCAGCAGCAGUACUCUCAGGAUCCUCAGUAUCAGAGUGGGUAUCCUUAGUAUAAGGGAUGAUCUAUGUCUUAUCAGCCACAUUCAGCCAGUGGAUCUUAGUGGUACCAAGGGGGACAGCCCCAGCAGGGAGAGAUUGCUGCUAGCAGUGCAGGAUCUUCGAGGUAGUCGGGUCAACAGAGGCAGGGACGUAGUGUUCACGCCAAGAGAAGUCGCGGUAGACGACAUCAGAACCAGGCACAUAUCCACAACAUGUCACUACAAGAUGCCUAGAAUAAUCCAGAUUUAAUCAUAGGUACGUUAAAUAUUCUUGGUAAUUUUGCUAGAGUGUUGAUUGAUUGUGGUGCUACACAUUCUGUUAUUUCUCAUACAUUUGCUCAAGUGACACGACCUCAUCCUACACCUAUAGGAUAUAAUUUAGAAUUUUCUAUGCCUAGAGGGGAUAGCUAUUUUGUGGAUCGGGUAUAUCCAGGAUGUCCAGUGAUAGUAGAGGGUAUUAUUAUGUCGGCUAAUCUUAUGCCAUUGGAUAUUAUGGAUUUUGAUGUGAUUUUGGGCACUGAUUGGUUGCACUAUAAUCGUGCCAAGAUAGAUUGUUAUGGGAAGACAGUCACAUUUCAUGGUCCUAGAUUACCUGAAGUUACAUUUGUAGGAGAGCCUAGUGGGGUGAGGCAUGGUAUUAUUUCAGCCAUGAAAGCAAAUAGACUAUUGUUGAAAGGUUGCCAGGGAUAUUUGGCUCAUGUGGUGCUGAAUGAUGAUACUCCUAGUAGUGUGGAGGAUGUUCGUGUGGUCAGAUAUUUCCGGAUGUAUUCCCUGAGGAUCUGCCUGGAUUGCCGCCAGAUAGAGAGUUGGAGUUUGUUAUUGAUUUGCUUCCAGGUACGAAUCCUAUAUCUUUGACUCCUUACAGAAUGGCUUCUGCUGAAUUAAGAGAAUUGAAAGUGCAGUUGCAAGAGUUAGUGGAUAAAGGUUUCAUUCAGCCUAGUACUUCACCUUGGGGAGCCCAUUCUUAUUUGUGAGGAAGAAAGAUGGAACUUUGAUGUUGUGCAUUGAUUACAGGUAAUUGAAUCGGGUAACCAUUAAGAAUCGUUAUCCAUUGCCUCGUAUAUAUGAUUUAUUUGAUCAACUCAGAGGUGCCUGCGUAUUUUCUAAGAUUGACUUGAGGUCGGGAUACUAUCAGUUGAAGAUUAAAAAUGAAGAUGUCCCUAAAACCGCAUUCAGGACUCGAUAUGGUCAUUAUGAGUUUCUUGUGAUGCCAUUCGGGUUAACUAAUGCACCAGCAACUUUUAUGGAUUUGAUGAAUCGAGUGUUCCAGCCAUAUUUAGACAAGUUUGUUAUUGUCUUCAUUGACGAUAUCCUGGCAUACUCUAAGUCUAAGGCUGAGCAUGCUAAACAUUUGAAAUUAGUGUUGAGCAGUUUGAGGGAACACCAACUAUAUGCUAAGUUUAGCAAAUGUGAAUUUUGGUUUAAUCAAGUGGCAUUUUUGGGACAUGUCAUUUCUGCUCAAGGCAUUCAAAUGGAUUCUCAUAAAGUAGCAGCUGUGGAGAAUUGGGAGUAAGCUCGAACCGUCACUGAGGUACGGAGUUUUCUUGGCUUAGCAGACUAUUAUAGACGGUUUGUUAAGGAUUUUUCAGUGAUCGCUUUGCCAUUGACGAGGUUGACGCGCAAGAAGGUUAAGUUUGAGUGGGAUAAUAAAUGUGAGCAAAGUUUCCAGCAGUUAAAGUAUUAUCUUACUCAUGCUCCUGUUCUAGCGCUUCCAGAUGAUAGCGGUAAUUAUGAGGUUUAUAGUGAUGCUUCUUUGAAUGGUUUGGGUUGUGUAUUAAUGCAACAUGGUAGUGUAAUUGCUUAUGCUUCAAGACAAAGCCUCAUGAGAAGAAUUACCUUACACAUGAUUUGGAAUUAGCAGCUAUCAUCUUUGCCUUGAAGAUUUGGAAACAUUAUCUUUAUGGUGAGAAAUGUAAGAUCUUCACAGAUCAUAAGAGUCUCCAAUAUCUGUUUACCCAGAGAGACCUUAAUCUUUGGCAGUGGAGGUGGAUUGAAUUGCUUAGUGACUAUGAUUGCAUGAUUGAGUAUCAUCCUGGUCGUGCAAAUACAGUGGCUGAUGCACUGAGUAGAAAGACUCCAGCCAGACUUAAUGCCAUUUAUGAUUGUCAUGUUCCUUUUCUAGCAAAUUUAAGGUCCACUGGAGUGGAGCUAGGAGUGGAAGAUCGAGGAGAAGCCUUGCUUGCUAAUUUCCAGGUUAGGCCAGUUUUAAUUGAUCAUGUGCUUGAGACUCAGAUGAUUGAUGAGGAGACCCAGGAAAUAAUUCAAGCAAGGAAUCAAGGCAAAAAGAAAGAUUUUGAGAUUCAAGAAACUGAUGGCAUGCUUAUGCAGGAAAGUAGGAUGUAUGUGCCGAAUAAUUCAGAAUUAAAGAAAGAAUUUUGGAUGAAGCACAUAUUUCGGCAUAUGCGAUGCAUCCAGGAGGCACUAAGAUGUAUCAUACCAUUAGACCAUUUUAUUAUUGGUCAGGUAUGAAAAGAGAAAUUGCCGAAUAUGUGAGUAGGUGUGCCAUUUGCCAACAGGUUAAAGCUGAAAGAAAGAAGUCGUUUGGGUUGAUGCAACCACUUCCCGUUCCACAGUGGAAAUGGGAAAAUAUUACUAUGGAUUUUGUAUACAAGCUUCCUCGCACACAGAAUGGUUAUGAUGGCAUUUGAAUGGUAGUUGAUCGGCUUACGAAGUCAGCACAUUUUAUUCCAGUAAGGGAGAAGUAUUCGUUAAGCUGAUUAGCUAAGUUAUUCAUAUCGCAGAUUGUGAAGUAUCAUGGUGUGCCAGUUAAUAUCAUCUUGGAUCAGGAUCCUAGAUUUACUUCCAAGUUCUGGAUAGCAUUCCAGGAAGAUCUUGGUAUGAGAUUGCUUUAUAGUACAACAUAUCAUCCUCAGACAGAUGGACAAUCUGAGAGGACCAUUCAGACAUUAGAGGAUAUGUUAAGAUCUUCAGUGUUACGGUUUGGAGAUAGUUGGCAUGAUUGUUUGGAUUUGAUGGAGUUCGCCUACAAUAACAGUUAUCAUUUGAGUAUUGGUAUGGCACAAUUUGAGGCACUUUAUGGGAAAUCUUGCCGUACACCUCUAUGUUAGUCAGAGGUUGGCGAAAGAGUUUUAGUGGGCCCUGAGAUUGUGGAUGUGACUACUCAAAAUGUUCAAGUAAUUAAGUCUAACCUGAAAGCGGCCCAAGAUCGACAAAAGAGCUUAGCAGACAAACAUGCCAUUGAUCGGAGUAUGAUGUACGCGAUUGGGUAUUUCUGAAGCUAUCACUUUGGAAAGGUGUUGUACGAUUUGGAAAGAAAGGAAAGUUGAGUCCUAGGUCCCUUGGACCAUAUAUGAUCACCGAGCGAGUCGGUGAGGUUGCUUACAAGCUUGAGUUACCUCCAGAGUUGUCCAAGGUACAUGAUAUGUUUCAUGUUUCGAUGCUUCGACAUUAUGUUUCAGAUCCUUCACAUGUGAUUCCUCCUCAACCUUUGGAAAUCAAUCCGGACUUGACUUAUGAUGAGGAACCAAUGACUCUAUUGGAUUGGAAGGAUAAAGAACUGAGGAACAAGACAGUUCGUCUGGUAAAAGUGUUAUGGAGAAAUCAUUCAGUGGAAGAAGCUACUUAGGAGACAGAUGAUCGGAUGAGAGAGAUGUAUCCACGAUUGUUUUAUGAUUAUUAAUGGAUGUAUUUGUUAUGUACAAUUUCGAGGAUGAAAUUUUAUAAGUUGGGGAAAUUGUCACAACCCGUCCCGGAAAUGUACAUUAUUUUGUUAUCGUUGAUGUGAAAAGACUAAAAUUCCCUUGAGCAUUUGUGGCAUUGUGGGACUAUGUGUGGUUGGGGACCAAUGUGUUAAGUCCCUAUUAUUUUGGAACCAAUUGGAAGUAAGGAAAAUGAGUUGUUUUGAUUGGUGACCCUAAAAUCUGGACCACACAUCCUAUCUCUCUCUUACUCUCCCUUGCUCUCUCUUUUCUCUCUCUCGGUUUCAUUCUCUAUCCUUCGAAAUGGUAUGGACAAGCACCCAAGACCAUUGAAACUUCACGGAUCGUGGCCAAAAUUAGUACAAUUGUGUUCGUGAAGACCAUACGAGUUCAAAGGUACCCAUUUCAGGUAAGAACUUGUUCGAUAUCACGUUGAAAAUUCAAGCUCCGAGUUGAGCACUAUUCAUGAACUUUUAAAUGGUUAUGUUUUAGGACAAUCCAAGCUCAUAGCAAGCUUAGUGAGGUCCCAAGGAAGCUCGGAGUGCUUCAUUUGAAGGUUUUGGAUGUUGAGAUCGUGUGGACGAAGUUUGGCCGAUUUUCUUAGAAUUCUCCGGUGAGAUCCCGUGACUUUUAGAGCUUUAAAUUGGUAUGAUUGUGUUCUACAAGUUAAGAGCUUCAUUUUGGUAUAAAAUACGUGAAAAAUGGUGCAAAAACAAGUGAGAAAUGGGCAGUCGCAAGUCUGCCCAGAAUCCAGUGCUGGUGACACAGUUCCGGCGACUGGAGGUUGAAGAUGAUGCGCGUGGGCCGCAGUGAAGCCGUGUCCUCCCCGGCGCGUGAGCCAUAGAAAAAUUUAUCUAAAAAUAUCACGACGUUCGUGAGGUUGUGUAGGUCAUGUUGGUAUAUUUAAAUACCAAAAUUGAGCAAUGUAUGAGAAGUUAUUAGCUAGUUUUGCUUAUGUGCUUUCAAAUAACAUUUUUAUAGUUAAUUCGCAUAUAGGUGAGACUUAUCCCGAGGACGAGCGUAUCCAUGGGCGACUCGGGGGCUACGACCCUUCGACAUACCAGUGAGUGGGCUUUUGUUUUCAGUAUAUAUUUAUAUACUUGAUAUAUUUCCCAGAAAUGCAUUUUAAGGAAAGUAUGCUUUGAAAUAAUAUGCCAAAUGCUUCUAUAUUUUGAAUAUGCAUUGCAUGGUUGCAUAUAUAUAUAUAUAUAUAUAUAUAUAUAUAUAUAUAUAUAUAUGAGGCUGUGGAGGCACAUGUGAGUUCAGGUAAGUUAUGUUUGGCUGUGUGAAUCAUCGAUGAUGUGAUAUGUGAUUAAGUAAUGUUGAGCUCAUAAAGCUGCACCUACGGUGAUUGUGAAUUAGCCAGAGAUAUGAGGUACAAGCCUGUUUAAUUACAUCACCUCCCGCAUUAUAUGCUCAUAUUGGAUCCAACUUAAGUGCACAGCCUUGUCAUACAAACCUUAUUUAUGGUUUCGACUCGUAGGUGACUAGCGAUUCAUCGCCCGACUAUUAUGAGAGAAAAGAGUUGAGCAUAAUGAUAUUUCACCCAAUCUUAUCGUACAGACCCUUCUUAGUGGUUCCGACUUAUGUGCAGUAUAUUGCCGUAUAGGUCAUUGUAGUGACUCCGGCCAGAUUAACUUUUGAGUUAUGAAUUCAGCCGUACAAACUACCUCAGAGGUUCCGGCUAACAUAUCAUGUUUCUAUGAAAUCAUUCUUACCUGGAUUGUUUACUUUGUUUUAGUUUGGCAUGGCAUACAUAUGAAUAUGGUUAUGUGAAGCAUGAAUUGAAUUGAUAUGAUCAUAUAUAUAUAUAUGUAUAUACUUAUAUCUUGAUUCUGGGAAAAUUAUACAUGUUUUACAGUGGGGGGUUAGUAUAUUGAUAAAUGAAAUGAUUUUGUAAAAUAAUUGUUUUUACCCACUCACGUUUUCUGUUUUGCGCCUCUCCAGGUUCUAAGUAAGUUUACUGUUGGUGGCUCGGGAUUGUCGGCUGUUCUGACUUAUCAAAAUAAUAGUAGGACAUUCCUGGUACUGUAUAACUAAUACUUGUCCUACUGGACUGCACUUAUACUUUAUGCUCUGAUUAGGAGUGUUUACUGUUGUAACUUACUCCUAUCACUUUCUGUUUAGUAAUGCACUCUAGUAAUCUGGUUUUAAAUUAUUUGUAUAGUUGCUAUCUUUAUCGCUUCCGCACUGUGCACAAUGCUACGUCACCCUCACGUAACGGCCAGCAUGCCUUGACCUUGGUCAGGAUGUGUCACUGCUUCUGGGUUGCACCGUGAAAGAGAAAGAUCAAAGUAGAUGUUUUUUAAAAUUUAUAAGUGAAGGUUUAAUGUAGAUAUAUAUUUUUAAUUUAUGAGUGAAUGUUUAAUGUUAAGGUUGUUUAUAGUCAUUCAUUAUUACGGUCUGGAAGUAUUCCUCUUUACUUGUAAGUGAGAGGUCUUAGGUUCGAAGAAUGCGUAUCCCAUCAAAACAAUAGAUUCACUAACACUUAAGAGUCUAUUCAUACUUUCAUUAAGUAUAACAUAAGAUUUUGUGGUAUCCACUAGUGUAAAUAUUUUAAAUUGAAGAUCGAGUUCAUUCAUUAUAUUCCUAUAUGGUCAAGUAGUGUAGUUGUAAAAAAUCAUCAAAAUCGGAGUUAAAAUAACCGCUAAAUCAUGAUUUUUCAUUGAUAGCCGUAAAAAAGUAUUGUCUCGUUACUUGAUCUCUGAAUGUUUGUUUUUUUUUCUUUUUUUGCAAUUUUUGGCGUAUGCGAUCUCGAAGUAUAUACAAAUAUGUUUGACGGUUGGAUCGUUGAAACUAGUUUCGUAGAAUGCAUAUCCCAUCAAAACAAUAGAUUCACUAACACUUAAGAGUUUAUUCAUACUUUCAUUAAGUAUAACAUAAGAUUUUGUGGUAUCCACUAGUGUAAAUAUUUUAAAUGGAAGAUCGAAUUCAUUCAUUGUAUUCAUAUAGGGUCAAGGAGUGUAGCUGUAAAAAUCAUCAAAAUCGGAGUUUAAAUAACCGUUAAAUCGUGAUUUUUCGUUGAUAACCGUAGAAAAGUUUUGUCCAGUUACUUGACUUCUGAAUGUUUGUUUUUUUCAAUUUUUGGCAUAUGUCAUCUUUAAGCAUAUACAAACAAGUUUAACGGUUGGAUCGUUGAAAUUAGUUUCGUAGAAUGUGUAUCCCAUCAAAACGAUAGAUUCACUAACACUUAGAGUUUAUGUAUACUUUCAUUAAGUAUAACAUAAGAUUUUGUGGUAUCCACUAGUGUAAAUAUUUUAAAUUGAAGAUCGAGUUCAUUCAUUAUAUUCCUAUAUGGUCAAGUAGUGUAGUUGUAAAAAAUCAUCAAAAUCGGAGUUAAAAUAACCGUUAAAUCAUGAUUUUUCAUUGAUAGCCGUAAAAAAGUAUUGUCUUGUUACUUGAUCUCUGAAUGUUUGUUUGUUUUUUUUUUUUUGCAAUUUUUGGCGUAUGCAAUCUCGAAGUAUAUACAAACAUGUUUGACGGUUGGAUCGUUGAAAUUAGUUUCGUAGAAUGCAUAUCCCAUUAAAACAAUAGAUUCACUAACACUUAAGAGUUUAUUCAUACUUUCAUUAAGUAGAACAUAAGAUUUUGUGGUAUCCACUAGUGUAAAUAUUUUAAAUGGAAGAUCGAAUUCAUUCAUUGUAUUCAUAUAGGGUCAAGGAGUAUAGCUGUAAAAAUCAUCAAAAUCAUAGUUAAAAUAACUGUUAAAUCGUGAUUUGUCGUUGAUAACCGUAGAAAAGUUUUGUUCAGUUACUUGACCUCUAAAUGUUUGUUUUUUUUUUAAUUUUUGGCAUAUGCCAUCUUAAAGCAUAUACAAACAAGUUUGAUGGUUCGAUCGUUGAAAUUAGUUUCGUAGAAUGUGUAUCCCAUCAAAACGAUAGAUUCACUAACACUUAGAGUUUAUUUAUACUUUCAUUAAGUAUAACAUAAGAUUUUGUGGUAUCCACUAGUGUAAAUAUUUUAAAUUGAAGAUCGAAUUCAUUCAAUGUAUUCAUAUAGGGUCGAGGAGUAUAGCUGUAAAAAAUAAUCGAAAUCAGAGUUAAAAUAACCAUUAAAUCAUGAUUUUUCGUUGAUAACUGUCGAAAAGUUUUGUUCCAUUAUUUAAUCGCUAAAUGUUUGUUUUUUACGAUUUUUUACCGAUGCAAUCUCGAAGCAUAUACAAACAAGUUUGUUGGAUCGUUGAAAUUAGUUUCAUAGAAUUCGUGUCCCAUCAAGUUCAAUGAUAUAUAUAUAUAUAUAUAUAUAUAUAUAUUAAGUAGAUUUAAAUUUAUUGAUUUUGUACAUAUAACACUUAAAAAAUUGAAUGGUAUGUAUACUUAAGCCGAUCCAAUGGUCACAAAUUUUUAAUAUUUAAUUUAAUAUAUAUAUAUAUAUAAUUAUUAUAGUUUUUAGGGGUAUAAAAUUGUUAAAUUAAUAUAUAUAAUUAUUAUAGUAUUUUUUAGGGUUAUAAAAUUAUAAAAUUAAUAUUUUGCUUAUCAUGUAUCGUGUUACUCACGUGUAUACCCGAACGAACCCGUUAUCUUAACAGGUGCUUAUCGGGUUACCCGAUAACAACCCGAUUCUUUAUCGUGUUGACCCGAAUACCUGUUAAUUUCGUGUCGUGUCGUGUCGGGUUAUCGGGUCGUGUCUAGAAUUGCCAAGCCUAACUUGGAGUCCUGCUUCUGGGUUGCACCGUGAAGGUUUAAUGUAGAUUUUUUUAAAAAAAAUUUAUGAGUGAAGGUUUAAUGUUAAGGUUGUUUAUAGUGAGAGGUUUUAGGUUCGAAUCUUGUGGAUGACGAAUUCAAUACCAAACUAGGUUGUCAUUACAUGGCUUAACCUAACUUCCCCCUCCCCUUAGUGUAAAAUAUAUUCGUUCUACUAAAGAAAAAACAAAGCUAAGGUUGUUUAUCAAAUGUCAAAGAUGAUUAAUUUGAUGUCAUAUAAAUAUAAUAAUAGUGGUGGGAUGUAAUCAAACUUGGAAGUUGGCAUUUGGAAUUAGGAAACAAUAUUUUUAAAUUUGUUGCAUUGUUGACAAAUAAGAGCAUGACUGUAAAUGUAUGAAGCAUGAUAAUUGGAGGAGGUUUGAAAAGAAAAGGUCAGUAUAGGCGCCCUAGGCCAAUCCUUGUCUCUUCGUCCCUCCGCCAUAGUGUAGUACUUUGAAGGGUAGAGCAACAACAAAAAUGUCUUAAUUAGUCACUAAUUUUAAUUGAUUCUCGUGACAAUUCUCCCGCUUUCAAUACAUUAUCAUGUAUUGAAUAUGGAAUUCUAUAACAUUUGUUGAGUUUGAAUGUUUCGACAGACCCCACAUAGAUGAUAGAGUUAUGCAGACUUCUAGUAGAAUUGCACUUGUACAUUUAGGUGAAAGUUCGAUCGAGUCAUGUAAAAUAGACGGGCGUAUAAAAUAGAUUCAAAUAUCAGUGCCGCAAGCUAAAAUUUGUUUCAGGACUUAAAAUAUAAAGCAGGAAUUGACCAAAAGGAAGUUCUGGCUUUAUAUAUAGAGAAGAUAAGUAAACACAUUCAGGUGGCAUUAAGUAUCACAAUACAAAUAUAGACAGUCCAAUGGCCCUGCAGCUGGAAGAAGAGGAAAACUUCGGCUGUGCCAUGCAGCUGGUGUUUUCUUCUGUGUUGUCCAUGUCUAUGAAAUCAGCAAUCGAUCUAGGCGUUUUCGACAUCAUAGCGAAAGCCGGUCCUGGUGCCAAGCUGUCUUCGUCAGAGAUUGCAGCCCAUAUCGGCAGCGGCACCAGGAAUUCUGAGGCACCGAUGAUGUUGGAUCGUAUUCUAAGGCUCCUAGCCAGUUACUCUAUUCUCAGCUGCUCUGUCGUUGCUAAUGAAGAAGAUGGGUCUGAUUCUCAGAGGGUCUACAGCAUUGGUCCUGUGUCCAACUACUUUGUGACUGAUGAGGAUGGUAUUUCUUUAGGUCCCAUGAUGGCAUUGUCGCAAGACAAGGUCGUCCUAGACUCCUGGUCUGUUUAGUACUACUCUCUUGCCCCUACUAAUUAACCAUUGUCUUGACCCUUUUCUCUUUUUAUUCAUCUAUAUUUUGUUUUAGUAGAAUUAUUAGAGAUAAUUAGAGCAAUAGUUCUGAAUUUUAGUUCAAUUGGAACUUUGGUCUUUAAAUUAAAUAUCCCUAAAUAUUAGUCUCUAAACUUGUUACAAUGGAAAACAAUAAUUUUUUUUUAAUGACUCCAUUCAAACUUCGUCCCUUUUUGGCCUCUUUGAACCUUUUAUUCUAAAACGAAAUUACCAAGAAUGUUAUUCAAAAGAACUAUUGCUUCAUAUUAUGACAAGUUCAGAAAGCAAUAACAACAACAACAACAACAAAGCCUUUUCCCACUAAGUUCAGAAAGCAAUACUCAAAAAAAAAUUAGUUCAGGAACCAAAGCUCAAAUUGUGCCAAAAUUGCUCCAAUUUUUUCAAAUUACUAUGAAAAAGAAACCAAUAUAACUUGAAAAUAACUUUUCUAUUAUGCACGACUCACUAUAAACUGAUUUGGCAAUUUUUCAUUUGUUUCAUUAUGGAAUCACUUACAAGUUAUUUAUUCACAGAAAAUUAGAAAUUGCCACAUCAGUCAUUGUAGAAAAGAAAUUGUCUCUCUAGCUUUUAUUUUCUAAUUAGCCUAAUUAAUAGUAAUUAUCUUGUUUCAAAAAAAAAAAAAAUAGUAAUUUAUCUUUUUAACUCUAACUUGGGUGAUACACAUUGACAUUGAUAGGUCCCAACUGAAGGAUGCAGUUGUUGAAGGAGGAAUUCCAUUUCACAGGGUCCAUGGCAAGCAGUCUUAUGAGUACCUAGGUUUAGACUCCAGGUUUAGUCAAGUUUUCAACACAGCAAUGUUUAACCUCACCACUAUUGUCACCAAGAAGAUUCUUCAUGUCUACGAGGGUUUUGAGAAAAUUACCCAACUUGUUGAUGUUGGUGGUGGUUUGGGAGUCACUAUUAGUCUAAUCACUUCUAAGCAUCCCCAUAUUAAGGGUAUCAAUUACGACUUGCCUCAUGUCAUAAAAGAUGCCACUUCAUAUCCUGGUAAAGAUCACUUUAGUUAAUUUGAUUUGUAAUAGUUAGUUGGAACAUGAUGUUCGCACACUCACUAUUUUCCUUUCCCUACACACUUAUGUUUUAACUUCAGGUUAAAUAAAUCAUACAGAGAAUCAAAAGACAUAAAUAUACAAAGAUAUACAAAAGAAGCAAACGACAUGCGGGAAUUAAUUUUCUUCUUAUUUUAUCAUGCACAAGCCAUGCAACUUAAAAUAGGAAUUAAUUUAUUUUUGCAGGGGUGGAACAUGUUGGAGGAGACAUGUUUACAAGUGUUCCAUCUGGGGAUGCCAUUUUGUUGAAGGUUAAUUUUCAUUUUCCCGAGCAUUAAUUUUGUUUUCCUAUUCAGUUUGAGGUCAUACGAACAAUGGUUACAAUGUAUCUUUCGAUAAAUUUGUAGUGGGUACUUCACAAUUGGAGUGACCAACACUGCCUAAAGCUGUUGGAAAAUUGUUACAAUGCUAUUCCAGACGAUGGAAAAGUGAUUAUUGUGGAAGCACUUCUUCCAGUGAUGCCAGAGACUAGCACCGCCGUGAAGAGCACCUCUCUACUUGAUGUGCUUAUGCUGAGUCAAAAAAGGGGAGGAAAGGAGCGGAGCCGAGAAGAGUUCAUGACUUUGGCAACUGGUGCUGGAUUUAGUGGCAUUAAAUAUGAAUGUUUUGUCGCCAGCCUUUGCGUGAUGGAGAUCUU